GACGAACGCUGGCGGCGUGCCUAACACAUGCAAGUCGAGCGAGGGGAGUUUCUUCGGAAACAAACCUAGCGGCGGACGGGUGAGUAACACGUGGGCAACCUGCCUCAUAGAGGGGAAUAGCCUUCCGAAAGGAAGAUUAAUACCGCAUAAUAUUGUUGAAAGGCAUCUUUUAACAAUCAAAGGAGCAAUCCGCUAUGAGAUGGGCCCGCGGCGCAUUAGCUAGUUGGUGAGGUAACGGCUCACCAAGGCGACGAUGCGUAGCCGACCUGAGAGGGUGAUCGGCCACAUUGGAACUGAGACACGGUCCAGACUCCUACGGGAGGCAGCAGUGGGGAAUAUUGCACAAUGGGGGAAACCCUGAUGCAGCAACGCCGCGUGAGUGAUGAAGGUCUUCGGAUUGUAAAGCUCUGUCUUUAGGGACGAUAAUGACGGUACCUAAGGAGGAAGCCACGGCUAACUACGUGCCAGCCGCCGCCGUAACAC
rnacentral:rRNA from 1 species